UACGGGGGGGAGCAAGCGUUGUUCGGAUUUACUGGGCGUAAAGGGCGCGUAGGCGGCCACCGCAAGUCAGUUGUGAAAUCUCUGGACUUAACCCAGAACGGUCAGCUGAUACUGCGGGGCUAGAGUGCAGAAGGGGCAACUGGAAUUCUCGGUGUAGCGGUGAAAUGCGUAGAUAUCGAGAGGAACACCUGCGGCGAAAGGCGGCACUCUGGGACGGUACUGACGCUGAGACGCGAAAGCGUGGGGAGCGAACAGG
rnacentral:rRNA from 1 species